GUUCGAGCGUCAUUGCAACCCUCAAGCACUGCUUGGUAUUGGAUGCCAUCAACUGUGGUGCAUCUCAAAAGUAUUGGCGGCAGCGUUCAGCUUCUAGUGUAGUAAUUUCUCGCUCUGGAGUUUUGAGUGCCUGUCUGCUAGAACCCCUAAUUAUUUAAAAGGUUGACCUCGGAUCAGGUAGGGAUACCCGCUGAACUUAA
rnacentral:misc_RNA from 1 species